rnacentral:rRNA from 1 species
CCAGCGCUAAAAUGUAGUUGGCGAGGUGGUGAUGUGAGUCUGUACCCGCCCACCGCGCGGGGGGAUGAGAUGAAAAGUGAAUAACAUAGAUAGCCGGGUGGGUAGGGCGGGCCUCUUCGCGGCGGGAAAAAAAACAGGAAGAGAAAAAGGCCGCGGCGGGCCCCCCCCCACAGGGGUGGGGGGGGGAGAAGUAUUAUGAAAAUCUACCCCCCAAGCGGGGGAACACCCUCCCCCCCACAGUGGUAAACAAGGGGAGGGGCCCCCUCUCUAAAAAGAGGGCCUUUUCCGGAGAGGAACUUUUAGAGGAGGGGUGUCAAAGGCCGUUGUCACAAAUCCGUUUUGGAAAAAAUUGGGGGAAAAAUCCCCCCCAACGGAGGCCAAACCCCUUUUUUGGGGGUUGCCCUACCCGUUUAGGGGGGGCCUUUUGCAAAAACCUCCCGGGGAUAACCGGAGGAAAGGUGGGGAUGACGUCAAGUCAGCAUGGCCUUUAUUUUUGGGGUACAACACGUGCUCCAAUGGCCGGUACAAACCGUCGCGAUACCGUAAGGUGGAGCUAAUCGGAGAAAGCCGGUCUCAGUUCGGAUCGUAGGCUGCAACUCGCCUGCGUGAAGUUGGAAUCGCUAGUAAUCGCGGAUCAGCACGCCGCGGUGAAUACGUUCCCGGGCCUUGUACACACCGCCCGUCACAUCACGAAAGCCGGUUGUACUAGAAGUCGCCACACUAACCCGCAAGGGAGGGAGGCGCCUAAGGUAUGGUCGGUGAUUGGGGUGAAGUCGUAACAAGGUAA